rnacentral:rRNA from 1 species
AGAGUUUGAUCCUGGCUCAGAACGAACGUUGGCGGCGUGGAUUAGGCAUGCAAGUCGAACGAAUCCCAGGGGGCAACUCCUGGGGGAAGUGGCGAAAGGGGCAGUAAGGCAUGGGUAACUUGCCCCGGAGACCGGGAUAGCCAUCCCAACGGAUGGGUAAUACCGGGCACCGUGACGGGUGGGCAUCUGUCUGUCACGAA